AAAACUAAGUAUUAUGUGCAUGGGAAUUAAGAGGCUAGUUAGUAGACAGGUGCUGCUAAUCAAUACCCUUGAUUAAUUGAACAUCAGCAAGUGUGACCCCCUCUACAAAAGUCAAUGUUUUAGCCGUUGGCUAGUUUGGAGAGUUCAGGUGUGUGUUAAAGGGACACUCCAGGCCCCCAGACCACUUAUGCCCAUUGGAGUGGUCUGGGUGCCAACUCCAAUGCAGCUGUAAUUAUUGCAGCACCUGUCUAUUAUUGCAGGGACUUAAC